rnacentral:rRNA from 1 species
UGAGGAAUAUUGGUCAAUGGACGAGAGUCUGAACCAGCCAAGUAGCGUGCAGGAUGACGGCCCUAUGGGUUGUAAACUGCUUUUGUUUGGGAAUAAUCGACAUUACGUGUAAUGUUUUGCAUGUACCAUUCGAAUAAGGACCGGCUAAUUCCGUGCCAGCAGCCGCGGUAAUACGGAAGGUCCAGGCGUUAUCCGGAUUUAUUGGGUUUAAAGGGAGUGUAGGCGGUUGGUUAAGCGUGUUGUGAAAUGUAGAGGCUCAACAUCUGACUUGCAGCGCGAACUGGCUGACUUGAGUACACACAACGUAGGCGGAAUUCAUGGUGUAGCGGUGAAAUGCUUAGAUAGCAUGAAGAACUCCGAUUGCGAAGGCAGCUUACGGGAGUGUUACUGACGCUUAAGCUCGAAGGUGCGGGUAUCGAACAGG